rnacentral:lncRNA from 1 species
CAUGCACAUGUAGCGCUUAUAAGUUAUAUGUGUUGCAAAUGAAACAGAUGUAUAAGCUUUGAAAACAAAGCAUUUGUUUACAUGCAUAUGUAUGGCUACGCAUGCAGUACCUACCUGUAAGGUACAAGUAUAAUUAGCUGUCCAAUACUUAGCAUUAGGCCAUUAAUUUUGCUCAAUAUGCUGAUAAAGAAUAUGUGCCAACAUUCAUUAUAUAUUCAGGGAACAAAGUUUUGCUUUAUCCUUCAACAAGAUCCCCAUCCCCUCCUAUUAAACCCGUGCAGUGCAACUUUAUAAUUUUCUAUAUACGUGCAAUUUGCUCCAAGCUCCCAACUGCAGCAAACCAAACCAUAGCAUGCAUAUACUACUAUAAUAUAUUGGCUUUUCUCUCCCAUAUAUAUACCGACCGGCGACCACCGUCCACCGUUCAUUAUGAGCGCUGUCUAGUGACAAAUUCAAUGCAUGAAUAUACAACCAGAAACACAAGAAAGUUGAAUUUGAGUAUAAAGAUGGAGAUAUACAGAAGAGACUGACCGGUCGUGAAUGGGAUAUGGGAGAGAGGAAAUGAAUGAAUGACUAUGAGGGCGUCCUUUUCCUUAUCCCUGCCACUCCUUAACCCAAACCAAACCAGCCCAUUUUUGGUGUAAAAUGACUAUAGUAGCCUCACAGAACAUAAUUUACUUUCCUAAUCACAUCCUGGAAGAGUCCUUUUACACGGACAGGUAGAACAAUUUUCUUG